AAAAAUCGCCAGAUCUCCUCCCAAGCGAAAGAGAGACGACCCCUCUUCUUCAUCUCUCUCAAUCGCUGCUCCCUCCUCCAACUAGACGACCUUCCUCAUUCUUUUUCUUCACUCCUUCACACACAUACAUUCAGACUCAUAGAAGCAGCCUCGAUUUUGAAUUUCGGAUUCUAGAUCUAUAACACAAUAAGCUCAAAAUCAGGGGGAAAAAAACAAAAGAAGAACGGGAUUCAAAAGGGAAUUUUAUUAAAAAUGUUCCAGGAUUCAAACUCUGUUGAUUGCUGUUGAUUUUCGCUGUUGAUUCAGUUCAUGGUUGAGCUCCAGAUUAGCCUCGAGUUUGUUGUUGAGAUUCGCAGGUCCAAUUUGGUCUGAAUUUGCUGUCCGUUUGGCUUUGAGAUUGUAUUGAGAGGCAUAUUCAUGAAUAAUUAUUGCUGUGGAAAUUGUUGUUGGAGUUACACUUGCUGAUUUCACUUUAUUUGGGCUUGUUUCGGUAUUUCGCUUUCAAUUAGGUAAGCGCGUCUCCUAUUUUAUCAUUCUGCUCGAGUUAAGUAUUUUCUUCUUCUUUACAUGCUUCCCGUAUUAUUUGUCUAUGAUUUUGGGUGAUGUUUCUCGAGUAGUAUCAUAUUAUACAGUUCUGCUAAUUGCAAUUUAGGAUAAUGUUAUAAACUGUUGCACAUGAAGCCUGUAGUUCUUAAAUCGUUUCUGUUUGCAGUUGAAUUAGACUAAUAAACUUUAUAGCUGCAAUUUUGAAUAAUGUUAUAAACUGUCGCACCAUUUCCGUAAUAUGAAGCCUGUAGUUCUUAACUCGUUUCUGUUUGCAGUUGAAUUAGACUAAUAAACUUUAUAGAAUGUGAAAUAAUGGGUUUAGUUGAAGUGAUAAGUUGUUUCGGCUCAAUAUGCAUACUUUUCUUGAGGCAUAUGGUUUAUGAAGUUUAAUGUUUUCAGAAUCAUGACUUAUACUUGCGUUUGGUAUGGUUUAAAGCGUACUUACAAAAAUAAUAUCUUGAAGCAUAUGGGUUUAUGAAGUUUAAUGCUUUUAGAAUCAUGACUUAUACUUGUGUUUGGUAUGGUUUAAAGUGUACUUACAAAAAUAAUAUUUUACUUGGGUGAACAAACAGAAUGUUAUUAAUGAAUUAUUAAUAAAUGCUUCACUGAUUUAAACAUCAAAAACAUAUAGGCUACGCUAAUAUGAAUUUGACAAGUUUGGUUGUGUUGAUUUUGGUUUUGAUUUAUUCUAGUAAUGGGCCCUUUGAUAUGUGGUUAAACCAUGGAAAUAACUUGCUGAUAAUUCUCGUUAAAGUUGGCAACUUCUCUAUUCCUAUUUCCUUGUUGUUGAAAUUCCAUAUCCUCCUAGUUGUCUGCUGCUACUUAUAUGUUAACAAUAAUUUGCAACCUGUCAUGGGACUAGGGAAGUACAGAUGCAAAAUUGCUUAGAUCUGAUAGCGAUACUGAGUUGCAGGCUACCUACUUCAAUGUUCUGCAUCCCUGCAACU
rnacentral:lncRNA from 1 species